GUGUUGAUGACGCAGGGGGUCCACCCGUUCCCAUCCCGAACACGGAAGUUAAGCCCUGUAGUGCCGAAGAUACUUGGCUGGCGACGGCCCGGCGACGGCCCGGGAAAAUAGGAAGAUGC
rnacentral:rRNA from 1 species